GUUCCCUCCUCCAGGACUAACACAGACAGAGUUUUUCCAGCAAGGAAGGGGCCCUCAUGGGCUUGGAUGGGAGGCCAGGACUGAGAAGAGGAGCUACCUGCCCUGAGGAAGACGGACUCUUGCUCUGCCGCCCAGGCUGGAGUGCAGUGGUGCCAUCUCAGCUCACUGUAAUUUCCGCCUCCUGGGUUUAAGCAAUUCUCCUGCCUCAGCCUCCAGAGUAGCUGGGAUUACAGGUGUGUGCCACCACGCCCGGCUAAUUUUUUUGUAUUUUUAGUAAAGACUGGGUUUCACCAUGUUGGCCAGGCUGGUUUCGAACUCCCGACUUCAAGUGACCUGCCCACCUCAGCCUCCCAAAGUGCUAGGAUUACAGGUGUGAGCCACUGCAACUGGCCCGUGAUUCAUAUUUUAACAGUGUUUGGUUGGCUUUAAAUAAAGUGCAUAGCAGGGGUGGGGGAACCCCUCCUUAAUGCUGGGGUUCCUUUCACACAGCCAGUGUUGUCCAGGGGAG
rnacentral:lncRNA from 1 species